CCUGCAGAAGAAAAUUCCAAUGGGACAAGAGAAGUAUGAAGUAAAAAUAACAACAAAGGCUCCCCAGGCUAUUUGAAGGACACUACAGCUGUGCCUCACAGACAGUACAGUGGUUGAAUACAAAGUCUUGUAUCUAAUAGGUCAGGCUUUUAGUAGCAGAAUACCUUAAACUUUCUAGUACUCCAGUUUCAUAAAGGUAGAAGAUGAAGUCCAAAAUGUAGUUGCCUGCACUGUGCAAGAGUGGAGUACUGAAAAGAUUUUGGAAGAAAUCAGCCAAACAUGGAAUGCCGUGGGAUUUUCUUACCAAGAGCAUAAAAGAUUAGAAAUUCCUUUAUUAAAGGCCAAUGAACAGCUGCUUGAAACUUAAGCAGUUGGUGACUAACAUUACAAAUAAAGAAAAUGUGAUGGAAGCUACAAGAAAGUCCAAGGUGUAUGAAAGCUUUGAAGCUCUGCAGCAAAGGCUCUUCAGCUAUCAGUGAGUGGUGCUCCUGCAGGACCAGCUGACACAUGACCAGAGACCAUGGAAGAUUUAGGCUGUGCCCUUGGCAUGAUGGUGAAAAUUUCCAACUCUUCAGAACACAUAGAUGAUGAGAACCUGUGCCAUGGUUGUCCCUGACACUGAACUGGUCUCUGAGAUGAUGUUGGCUGCUGAAGGGUUUAUUGAUGCUUGUCUGUUGGCCAGGAAAUUCAUCACCUUGUAACCUGUCUGCAGGGAGCUACUCCCUGAACAGAGUUACCACUGUCAUGGAAGAGGAUAGAGGCAUGGAUGGCAUCUGUCAACUUAAAAUGGGCUGUUAUGACUGAGGACUUCAUGCUAUCAAGUCAGUUUGGAUAAUUGAAGGGUCCCUGAAACAAGGAGACAAGAACAGACCUGAGGAUUGGGCGUGAUCAGUGACCUGUUUCCAGCUCUGGAUGUUCUGAGGAUGAGGAACCUACAGUUUGAACAGAUGGUUAAACAAUCUACCCUGGAGCUGUAGUUGCAGCCAGAAGAGAACUUUAUUCUCAAAGUAAAAUAAUUCAUUGUCUUUAAUUACUCCCCUUAAGAUUUUGAUCACAAGAAUUGCCAAUGGGCUGGUUGUAUUAGGGGUGAAGAUUAUUUUUGAGUAAGUUAAAGCAUUGAUAAAGCAAUGAUUCAGUAUUUCAAAGGCACUUCAUGACAGCAGUAAUGUUCCUCAGUAUGAUAAAUAUGUCCAUAAGAAAGUGUGUGUCCUGUUUGGAAAAACUGUGUACAUUGACAAUAUAGAGUGACAAAAACAUUUGUGCACAGUAAGAAGAAUUUGUGUUUGGUAGCAAAUUCAUUGUUGGUCAGAUAUUUACAGUGAGGUAAGAGGAGAAAGUGAACAAAAAUAUAUAAAUAAGAAGGUGUGGAUAUGGAAUUUGCAUAGUUAUAUGUGAGUAUUGUGUGCUCUGGCUUUUAUGUAUAAUAUAAUGCAUGUGCAUGCAUGCAUGUAUACUCACAAGAAUUAGUUGCCCAUAAGCUAAAUUUAAGCACUAAUUUAGUUUAAUUACAGACAGGAUGAAAAAGUGAAACAUAGAAACACUGGUUAGUACACAGACCAAAUAAAAAGUACAUAUAUUUCCACCUUUCUUCAAGGAGCGUCCAUAGCUGUGUAUGUGACAGCAUACUCCUUACCUUUAUUGGGGUAGAUUGGAAAUAACCAAGUUGGUUGAAUGUUAUUGAUCAGAAGAUUUAUAAAGGAUUUUGUGCUCUUCUCUCUCUUGUUCCGUUAUCCUGACAGAAGUGUGAAAGACAAUAAGGUAUGCCUUGGGGAAUUAUGAACUUUACAAUCAGCCUUCUAAAGAGCAUUUUGUUCCCUGCUGACUGGGUAAGUCAGAAGACAAGCACUGGGGAUCAUGAACUUGUUCCUGUUUGGCUUUGAAAAAUCAGAGUGACCACUUUUCACUAAAACAGAAAUCCGCAAGAAGCCAAGCUAUUUCUAUUCUGUGACUCAUACAAGUAUUUCUUUGGAAGCAAUGCAUUACUUCAGAAAACUGACUUUGUAUUUUUAUGAAUUACAGCAGAAUCCACUCUGUCAAAGCAAUGGCAAAAUUGCGAUAAUGGCUCUGUAUCCUUGGAUUUUCACGGUCCUGCUGGACUGUGUCGCUGCCUGGAGAAUAGGAUUUGUUCUCACUUGCUGAGGUUUCCUGUCAUCUUCUCUGAGAGAACAAGCCAAUAUUACCCAUGAGGGGCCAAAAACAUUUGUUUUAAAUAUAGAUCCUAUGUUGACUGAGUCCCUCAACACUGUUAUGGAUGCUAACAAGGAGAACUCACCCAGCAAAGCAGGCUAGUUACCUUUUAAUUAAUUAAACUCCAACAAACUCAUACGAGGUUCUGACCCUUACAAGCAAUGAAUGUGUGUCUAUGACUCUGCCAGUGUGGCUGCUGUUUGUGGUACACAUUUAGGAGCUGCUGCCCCAACUACAAUAUCCAGAGCUGGUAUUCAUCCCCCAAAACCCCAGGACCUGGAGUAGAACCUGGAUAUUUGAAAAAAAGCUGGAGAAAGAACAUGGUCAUACCUAUUUCCAGUAAAAGAAGGAGAAACUCUUCCAUUUUAUUGGUGAUUUGAAUAUACCUGAAGUGGAGAGAUAUGGAAUGGUUCAGCCUCAUGAAUUGAUUUAGCAGCAUAUUGAUUAUGGACACUGGUAGAUCUUGCCAGUUUGUACAUCAAGACAGGUGCCAAGAACAUGCCCACAGUGUUUUUGCUGACAGAUGCCCAAGUUCCAGAUGAAUGCUUUCUUGUGCUGAUUAAUGACUUGUUGGCAUCAGGAGAGGUUCCAGAUCUGUCAGGGAUGAAGAAUUGAAGGUCAUAGUUGCAGGAGUUAGAAAAGAAGUCUGAGCUCUGGGCCUGAUGGACAUCCUUGAAGAACACUCCUGGAGGUGAUUCCUGAGACUGUGGCUGCAGUAGAAAGUAGAAGAUCUAAAAUCCAAACUUGCUACUCAAGAGGCAGACUGGCAACAGAAAAAUCAAGAUACUGAAGCUUUGAUUGCUCGGAUAGGGUUUCAGACUGAGAAACUGAGCCAAGAGAAGUCCAUUCCAAAUGCAGAGGAGCUAAAGAUUUCAAAUUGGAACUUACAAGAGCUUUUAGAGUUUUACAACCUUAAGCAAGUUUAAGCAAGACCUGACAGGAGAUGAGCCUGUGAGAUGAGCAUGAGGUACAAGGAUAAGGAUGAAUAAAGUAUAACUGACUUCAGCCUCAGGCAAUGUAUCUUUAAAAGUGUGUAUAGUAAUCUUCCAAAUAUACAAUUGCUGAUGAUACAGAAUGCCCCCCAGGUUUACUCUCCCAGAUAAAUUUGCACCAAUGAAAUCAUAAUCCACUUUUAAACUGGUAAUUAAAUUGUUGCAGAGGCAUUCAGAUUUCAUGUAAGACUCAUGCUAACUAAUGUAAAGUCACUGAUCUAAGCCACUCUUAAGCCAAAAUAAGUGUCUUGACAAAGCUGCUUAAACUGAUGAUUGUUUAAUUUCCAAACCAGAAAUUAAGUACAGUGUUUUCAUAUAGGAUAUUUCCAUUUCUCUCAUUCCCUCCCUUGUUGUGACCUAUGGUUUCAGACUUGAAGAAUAAAAAGAAGGCAAAUUUGGCAAAAGAUGGAGGUUGGUUUGACAAAUUUUAUAUGUUUUCCUCUACCUCAAAACUGGAGUGAAUAUUUUACUAUUUAGGGAAAGCUCCAGUUCCAACACUGAACCAGUCAUUGCCUUCUUGGAAUUUCCUCUAAUUAUCUGAAAGAGAACCCUUUGAAGGGGAAGAAGGGGUAGUGAGGGAAAAAAGUUAACAGGUCUCAAAAUCUUAGCAAAAAGUCUUCACUCUCUUGUUUAGCUCCAGCUUUUGCAUUGUAACCUAGAUCAUGAAAGGCUUGCAGCUUGCCUGCUGCAGUGGCAUGGGCUACUGAGUUCCUCCCUGUGUUCAGUAACUCCUCAGGAGUAACAGGCUGCCCUGACAUUCCCCAGCUUUUUUGUAGAGAUACCUUACCUGGUGUCCUGCCCUGCAUUACUAGAUAACACCCCAUCCCUCAGGUGUGUCAGUCACACUACUCACUUUGGUAUCAUCUGCAAAUCUGCUGAGGGUGAACUUGAUCCCACUGUGCCACUGAUUAAAUAUGAACUCUUCUGGCUGUGUUUCCUUCCAGCCCCUCACACAGCCCCAGUCCCCUCACCUGUGCAGAAAGGGCCUUAGCUCUGUGUAAUCCCUGCUCAACAAUAACAAAAACAUCUCUGUAUUAUCAGCCCUAUGUUCAGCACAAAUCCAAAACACAGCACCACACCAGCCACUGUGAAGAAAAUUAACUCUACCCCAGCUGAAACCAAUAUUCUGUCACAUAAAGGGAAAGGGCUCAAGGAUGGAAGCUGGAAAACCACAGAACUCUUUAUAGGAAAGCUUGAAUUUAAAGGGAGAAGAUAUGACCCUGCAUUGCUCUUUUCUGUGUACCUUUGGUGACAAACUCAAGCCAGCCUGAGCACAACUGGAAUUUACUGAGUGCAAAACCAGGAGAAAAUGAAAGGGGGAACAUUUCAUUAUAUUUAUCCCAUUUCCCCCUAAUUUCUCAAGCAAGACAAAAAUCACAAAUUGUGUUUGUGACAGUGAAUACUUCUGUGUUUGGGGAAAAUAUUUUUGCUUUGUACUGACUGAAUAGCAUUUCUAAAGCAAUUAACUUGUGCAGGAUUCCAGUGUUACCUUUGAGAUGAAAGUAGGAUUUAGCUUCUGCUUCUCAAAAAAUUGAACGUUAUAUACACUGGAAGUUCUCACAGGUUGAUGACUCUUUGCAAGAUUUAAUUGACUAUGAUAAGGAGCAUAUUUCUCAGAAUUGUCUGAAGGUUGCCAAGGAGCAUUACUUGAAAGAUCCAGAUUUCAACCCAAAUUAUGUUCAUGCAAAAUCCUUUGCAGCAGCUGGUCUCUGUGCCUGGACCAUCAAUAUAGUAAAAUACAAUGAGGUGUGUAUAUAUCAGCCCUUGAACGAUCCCUGAUGGGGGAAUUUGGGUUAAUGAAUUUUUUUAUUAUCUUAGGAGGCUCAGCUUAGUGUUCUGGGGAGCUUGUAACACCCACCAGAGAUAAAGUGGGAAAUGUUCAGUACUUGGCAGUAUGUAUGCAUGUAUUUAUUUUUAGUAGGAAGUGAUAAAAAAAAGAUGUAGCUGUCCAGGACUUUUCAAUUGUCAUUACAAUACAACAGUUGGGAAAUAUUCUCCAGAUGUACAUGUUUCAUUUGAAACAUCUAUCCAGGGUCUGGCUGUCUGCAGUAUAAGACAGGCUUAUCACUUGUGAUUCCCUGGAGCACCUGGCAGCAGGAUUUCUCCAUUCAUCCUAGCAUUAUAGCAUCCUCAUUUAAUUACAGAAUAGUAAAAAACUUAUCAAUUGUAGAUGAUAAGUACAUUUAUCAAGUGUAAUGCCUGUCUGAUUUCCACCUGUAUCCUAAAAUCAUGAAAGUGAUACAUAUAAAUUAAUUCUAGCUGGAGAGUAGACUCACUAAGGUUGCAUUCAGUUCUGCUUAAAAUAUCCUUCCAUAGACUAUCAUAAAAUCUGCUGUAGUCAGUAGUGAAAAAAAUCUUUGCCUGACUCACUGUUGUGUAGAAAGAUGGGUCUAAAGCAAAGAUAUGUAAUGAAAGACUACUAGGAUUAUCUUAAAGUCUUGCAUCAGGAGUAAUUUGUGAUUUUUGCAAUAAAGUGAGGCCAAUUUCUCCUCUAAAGUACAAAUGUGGUAUGUCUUUUUCAAGGUGUGUUGAGAGAGAGAACCAAAAUGUGUGCUGGCUCAACACUGAACUAGCAGCAGCUACAGGAAAACUAGAAACCAUCAGGAAAAAGCUUCUUGUAAGUGCUGCUUGGUUAAUGAGCUUCUUGAAAUUAUAUGUCUGAGAGAUGCAUUUCCUCUGAUGCUUAGUGCCUGGUUUCCUACCUGUUAAGUGCUAGAGGAUGAUGAGAGGCUGAGUUGAUUAGAAAAGUUCAGUAGAUGAAAUGAAGUCUGCAGACUGAGUUUAACGUCUAUCAAAGUUUCAACAGUUCCAUUUUUUCAACCAUGGUGCUUCUUGAUCUGCUGGACUUA